rnacentral:tRNA from 2 species
CGUAGCUCAGCUGGAUAGAGCAACGGCCUUCUAAGCCGUGGGUCGGGGGUUCGAAUCCCUUUGG